rnacentral:misc_RNA from 1 species
GAAAUGCGAUAAGUAAUGUGAAUUGCAUAAUUCAGUGAAUCAUCGAAUCUUUGAACGCACAUUGCGCCUAUUAGUAUUCUAGUAGGCAUGCCUGUUCGAGCGUCAUUUCAACCCUCAAGCCCUGGUUGCUUGGUGUUGGGAGCUUGCUGUGAAACGCAACUCCUCAAAGCUAGCUGGCAGAGUCGGGAUGCACUCUAAGCGUAGUAAACUUGAUAGUCUCGCUUCUGCAGUUGUCCCGGCCGUCUUGCUAUAAAAGCCCAAACUUUUUUGUUUUCUAUGGUUGACCUCGGAUCAGGUAGGAAUACCCGCUGAACUUAAGC